CCUAACUGCUGUGGACUAGCAAAGAUUCUUGCCUACCAAUCCCCAGGCCAAUCUUGACAGUCUCCUGCCUAGGCAUGCUGGAAUUCUGACCGACCACCCAAGGUUUGCCUGAGAUUGGACCUUUAAAAAAGAAAAAUAAAUAAGUAAAAACAGUCAAAAGAAAAACCUCAUCUGACAACGUCUACAUGUUCUAUCCUAAAAAUCCCAAGUCCUUCCACUGGAAAGGAGGAGGAAUUAUCUCCUCUCUGCACAAGACCAUCACCAUGAAGGUGUGGACUCAAGGCAAAAAUCGCAGGUGGGUUCCUUUGCCAUG
rnacentral:lncRNA from 1 species